AUUGAACGCUGGCGGCAGGCCUAACACAUGCAAGUCGAGCGGAUGAAGGGAGCUUGCUCCUGGAUUCAGCGGCGGACGGGUGAGUAAUGCCUAGGAAUCUGCCUGGUAGUGGGGGAUAACGUCCGGAAACGGGCGCUAAUACCGCAUACGUCCUGAGGGAGAAAGUGGGGGAUCUUCGGACCUCACGCUAUCAGAUGAGCCUAGGUCGGAUUAGCUAGUUGGUGGGGUAAAGGCCUACCAAGGCGACGAUCCGUAACUGGUCUGAGAGGAUGAUCAGUCACACUGGAACUGAGACACGGUCCAGACUCCUACGGGAGGCAGCAGUGGGGAAUAUUGGACAAUGGGCGAAAGCCUGAUCCAGCCAUGCCGCGUGUGUGAAGAAGGUCUUCGGAUUGUAAAGCACUUUAAGUUGGGAGGAAGAGCAGUAAGUUAAUACCUUGCUGUUUUGACGUUACCAAAAGAAUAAGCAACGGCUAACUUCGUG
rnacentral:rRNA from 1 species